CAGAGAGCAGCUGUUACUUAACAACUGCUAGAUAUGCUCAGUUAACCCUGCUAUCCCUGCAGGGAAGAAACCCCAGUUCGAAUUUAUGUUAACCAUCCAGCAGAAGCACAUAUCAGUCAAAUCCUCAGCAUUAAUUGAGGGAAGAGAGACUGAGAGAAAUCAUUACCUAAAUCAUUAGCUUCACUGAUGGCAUUCAGUCAACAUCUCACUUUUUCCCAUAAGUAAGCAGUUUAUUAGUGGCCUGAUAGAAAGCAAAUUCAAAUCAAACAUUUAAUUCCACUAAAAAAAAUAAACUUCUUCCUGUCAGCAUUUCAGAAGAGUUUUUGCUGUCAAAAAACCACAGUGAUGCAAUGAUGCACUUCUCCAAAUUCAUCCACUACAAGUCAUUAAAAGAAGAAAUUAGCUGUAUGUUACUUCCAUUACUACCAGCUGAAGCACAAGUGGAACAAAGUUAGAUGGGGUGAGAAGAAGGAUUGGAACACAUAUUAAGGUAACUGUUGAUCAGUCCUGCACAUCAGCUUGGAGAAAUUUGAGCCCAUUCCUCACUACAGAGCAACUUCAACUCUGGGAUGUUGGUGGGUUUCCUCACAUGAACUGCUUGCUUCACAACAUUUCUAUUGGAUUAAGCUGAACCAGAAAAGGCCAACAGGAAAUGGGGGAGAAUGUUGGACCUGGGAGGACACCGUGUGGAUGCUGAAAACUUGGAUGGAGAAUGCUUAACGCAAUUGGCUAGGAGAGUCCAAUCCCACUCCUGAAAGACACGAGAGGAGGGGAACAAAUUAGACUUCGUAUUUGCAACAACAUUCCAGUGGCAUGUCCAUACUACAAAAGUCAAAUGCACACAAAAAACACUACCUAUUCAUAUUCACAUUAGAGAGGAAAAACAGCCCCGAACACGUCAUUAUUACCAUUGAACUGAUUAAUAUGAGAGCGAAGAGGGCGGAGGACUUCACCUGCAU